CUAGGACCGAUAUGGGCUCCGUUUCCCCGCUCUCCCCGCAAAUGGCGGAUGGCGAAGUAUGAUUGGUCAGAUCACCUGUCAAUCAAGCUCCCUGCUGCGCAGUGUAAGUUACCUCAGUCGCUCUCGCGCUACAGUGGUAUCGUGACAAGAACAUCGCCGGAUCGGAUGAUCUGGGUGAAUCUGACAGCACCAACUGUACCCAAGCAGAAACUGGCCGGACCAGGACAGUCAACAGGAAGAGAAAGGCCAAGGCUGACGUAGCGAGCAUGCUGGAAUCAUAUGUAGAACAACAGAAGAAACAAUAUGAGUUCAUGCAGGAGGAGCAAGUUCAUCAGCAACAGGAGAGAGAAACGCUGGACUACUGGAUGAAAGUACAAAUGGAUGUUAAGGAGCGCUGCUACCAGGCUCAAAGAGAGGAACGCCAGGAAAAUAACUGAAUGUUCAUGACAGUGCUAAACAGUGUUUGACAUUUUAGCACCUUCAUCACACCAGCAGGUACCUCUACAGUUACAACCAAAUUCUUUACAUCAUCUUUACCCAGCUCGUGAAAACAUAACAUACCCUACCUCACUGAGACAACAGACAGGCCAUCUCCAUCCUAUCAUUAGUUCAGAGUUUCAAAAUAAGUUAGGUUGGAAUGCAGUUUAAGUAAUGUUUUCAAAAGAGAUAUGUUCUCUGCAUCCAUACAUAAGCAGUGUGUUUUUUUUGUUUUUUUUUUUGUUCUUGUUUUUUCAAGAAAAUAGAAUCUGGAGUGCUUUCUGUUGAACUUGAGAUUUUUGUUGAAAUAGUAUUAUAACUGUGCAGUUUUACUUUCAUGUGGAACAGUACUUUUCCCACAAAAUGUUUAUCAAUGUUUUGAUAAUUGACUCACAAAUGUGCCUUAAUUUUGUUAAAACUGUUCUAAUAAUUCAGGAAGACUGAUUACGGCACUUUCAGUAAAGGUUCCUGACAUGUUUCUUGUCUCCCUUUGACUUUUUUAUUGACAGAUGAACUAAUGGGAACAAGUUAUUUUCAUACAAAACUGCAACAUGAGUUGUCAAAUACUGAAAAGCUUUCACAUUGAUGUGAUAUAGCAGUGAGUACAUUUCUCUAGCAUGCUUAAAGAGUAUCCAGUGUUGAUUUUACAGAUGUCUGUUUUAACUGUAUUUCAUGCAUAGCACUUUGUAGAAUAGAAAAUGGAAUUAAUACAAUGAAUGGCAUAGAAAUGCAUAGAAAAACAAAUGCAGACAAACAAUUUUAUCUUGUGAACUAUAUAGCAGUUAAAGGAAAGUUCAUGUUUUUGAAUUCACUCAAUCAUGUUGAUUUGUGUAUAAUUGAGAGGGAAUUGUUUUGUUUUAUUACUAGCACAUCUUUGUCUUGUUAGGAUGAUUUUGGCAGGUGUUGCUUAAAUUAUACUCCCCUAUCCAGUGUCUGCUCUGCAUGGUCAGCGACACAUGAAUCUUGUGAAACAUCUUGGACUAAAGAUGUUAUUUAUUAAGCAUUGUAAUUAUGGUAACCCUAAUCUGCUCAAUAUGCAAUAUUACUUAUGUAAAUAACGUACAAAAUUUUUAAACAUUAACAUUAUGAAUGGCUGUAAAGUUAUUUUGAAACUAUGUAUGUUGUAUAUAAAUCAAAUUGACUUGAUCUCA